AGUAAGUUUUAUGAUUAAGCUACUAAGGGCGUACGGUGGAUGCCUUGGCGCCAGAAGGCGACGAAGGACGUGGCAAGCUGCGAUAAGCCCCGGGGAGCCGCAAGCAGGCUUUGAUCCGAGGAUGUCCGAAUGGGGAAACCCGGCGGGAUGAACUCCCGUUACAGCCCGCUGAAUCCAUAGGCGGGUAUGAGCCAACCCAGGGAAGUGAACCAUCUCAGUACCUGGAGGAAAAUAAAUCAAAGAGAUUCCGAAAGUAGCGGCGAGCGAAAUCGGAA
rnacentral:rRNA from 1 species